rnacentral:rRNA from 1 species
UACGUAGGGUGCAAGCGUUAAUCGGAAUUACUGGGCGUAAAGCGUGCGCAGGCGGUGAUGUAAGACAGGUGUGAAAUCCCCGGGCUUGACCUGGGAACUGCAUUUGUGACUGCAUCGCUGGAGUGCGGCAGAGGGGGAUGGAAUUCCGCGUGUAGCAGUGAAAUGCGUAGAUAUGCGGAGGAACACCGAUGGCGAAGGCAAUCCCCUGGGCCUGCACUGACGCUCAUGCACGAAAGCGUGGGGAGCAAACAGG